rnacentral:rRNA from 1 species
GAACAGGAUUAGAUACCCUGGUAGUCCGCGCCGUAAACGAUGGGCGCUAGUUGUGGGGACCUUCCACGGUUUCUGCGACGCAGCUAACGCAUUAAGCGCCCCGCCUGGGGAGUACGGUCGCAAGAUUAAAACUCAAAGGAAUUGACGGGGACCCGCACAAGCAGCGGAGCAUGCGGCUUAAUUCGACGCAACGCGAAGAACCUUACCAAGGCUUGACAUAUAGCGAAAAGCGGCAGAGAUGUCGUGUCCGCAAGGGCGCUAUACAGGUGGUGCAUGGUUGUCGUCAGCUCGUGUCGUGAGAUGUUGGGUUAAGUCCCGCAACGAGCGCAACCCUCGUUCUGUGUUGCCAGCAUUUAGUUGGGGACUCACAGGAGACUGCCGUGGUUAACACGGAGGAAGGUGGGGAUGACGUCAAAUCAUCAUGCCCCUUAUGUCUUGGGCUGCACGCAUGCUACAAUGGCCGAUACAAAGGGCUGCAAUACCGUGAGGUGGAGCGAAUCCCAUAAAGUCGGUCUCAGUUCGGAUUGAGGUCUGCAACUCGACCUCAUGAAGUCGGAGUUGCUAGUAAUCGUAGAUCAGCAACGCUACGGUGAAUACGUUCCCGGGUCUUGUACACACCGCCCGUCACGUCACGAAAGUCGGUAACACC